rnacentral:tRNA from 1 species
GGGAAUGUGACUCAGUGGUAGAGUGCUUGCCUCGCAUGCAUAAAGCCUUGGGUUCAAUUCCUCAGUACCA